rnacentral:tRNA from 1 species
UGUCCAGGGAUGGGAAUCGAACCCACAGUGUUCCGCUUACCGGGCAGAUGCCAUGUCCACUAGGCUACCUC